rnacentral:ncRNA from 1 species
CGACCCCAUCUCAGGUGAGAAAACUUGCUAAGUUUAAGCAUAUAAUUAAGUGGAGGAAAAGAAACUUACAAGGAUUCCCCUAGUAACGGCGAGCGAACUAGGAAGAGCCCAGCAUGACAAUCGGGUGGCUGCACCGCCUAAAUUGUAGUCUGUAGAAGCAUCCUUAGUGACAGACUGGGAUCAAGUCCCCUGGAAGGGGGUGCCUGAGAGGGUGACAACCCCAUCGGUUCGGGACCCUGCCACACCACGAGGCGUUGUCAGCGAGUCAGGUUGUUUGGGAAUGCAUCCCUAAAUGGGUGGUAAAUUUCAUCCAAGGCUAAAGACGGGCGAGAGACCGAUAGCGAACAAGUACCGCAAGGGAAAUAUGAAAAGGACUUUGAAAAGAGAGUUGAAGAGUUCUUGAAAUUGUCGGGAGGGAAGCAAAUGGAGGCUGACGAUGUGUCUCCAUCAGAUGUGGAAUGCCUCAAGAUGGUCUGCCACUCACCUUGAGGUGAAAACCAGCACAAGUCGUUGCAUCGGCAUAAGCGCGGGUGGAGUAAUUCAUGUUGGUUUGUCGUUAUGGCGGUCGAGGAGUGGAAAAAUCAAGGGAUUCCACCAACACUCAUUUAAAUUUAUUUUUAAUCACUUGCCAAUACUUCUUUUAGUUUGUUUAUAUUGAGCUUGCACAUGAGGUAGUUUAUAUCUAUGAGGAUUUAAUAUCAAUUUUUCAAUCCAUGUGUAAAUAUUUAUGAAGGUAUUGGAUCCCUUAAUGACUCCUUAGUAUUGUUGACGAGUUGAAGAAGUUUUGAAAUCACCAAGCAACCAUGCAGGAAAAUCAAUGUUGCAUAGAAUAAGAGUUUAAUUUAUUUUAUGAGUUUAAAAGUUAGUAAUUGAACCUUCAUCAUUGAAGUAAGAAACUAAAGGUGUCAAUUUUUUUGUAUAUUUGGAUAAUUUAUCCAAGAAAAAGAAACAUUCUAGGUUGGGAGGCCAAUGAGUCUCCAAACCUAGUGACUAAACCUUCUUGAGUAUUAAGGUAUAUGAUUUACACCCAAAAAGAAAAAUCACUUAUUCAGUGAGGUUACUCGUUGUCCAAACCAACUGAUUGAGGUUAUUGACCCUUGCACUCAACAAAUUUCCUCCUUGGGGUAAAUCACUCACUUGUCCUUAUUU